GCACCGGUGGUGCAUGGUGCACGUUGCCCCUAGGUAUGGAAUCCGUAUCUGUCGGAGUUUCAGGCAGACCGGGGUUCGAUUCCCCACUGGUGCA